rnacentral:tRNA from 1 species
ACUUAAAUAAUAUAAUAAUUAUAUUAGGCUUCCAACCAAAAAAUCUAGAACUCCCCUAGUUUAAGUA